rnacentral:rRNA from 1 species
GUGGGGAAUCUUAGACAAUGGGGGCAACCCUGAUCUAGCCAUGCCGCGUGAGUGAUGAAGGCCUUAGGGUCGUAAAGCUCUUUCGCUGGGGAAGAUAAUGACGGUACCCAGUAAAGAAACCCCGGCUAACUCCGUGCCAGCAGCCGCGGUAAUACGGAGGGGGUUAGCGUUGUUCGGAAUUACUGGGCGUAAAGCGCGCGUAGGCGGAUUGGAAAGUUGGGGGUGAAAUCCCGGGGCUCAACCCUGGAAUGGCCUUCAAAACUCCCAGUCUUGAGGUCGAGAGAGGUGAGUGGAAUUCCGAGUGUAGAGGUGAAAUUCGUAGAUAUUCGGAGGAACACCAGUGGCGAAGGCGGCUCACUGGCUCGAUACUGACGCUGAGGUGCGAAAGCGUGGGGAGCAAACAGGAUUAGAAACCCUAGUAGUCC